UCCUUGGAUAUUCACACACAGGAGGGAAAAUCACUGCCUUGCUGAAAGCCUGAUGCUCCUCUCACCCCAAUGGAUGCUGCAAGGAAGAGUAAGAGCAGAGCUCUGCUGGAGCUCAGCAAAGCACCCCAGGGCCAUCUGCCCCUCUAGCAGCAGCCGGACCCAGGGACUGCAGCCCGCAGAAGGUGACAGCGGCAGUGUUAUUCCUUAGGGAAUGAGCAUUCCUUCCUGAGGGGAAUCUUGCUCCUUGCUGUAGGGAAAAAUAAAGGGCAGAAGUUAGAGCAGGCUCCUGAGCGGAGCGAGCUGUGCCCUGCUGGGCUCACAGCAUCCUCAUCUGCAUGUCAUGGGCUCCUUUCAGGUGCUGAUUGGCUGCGUGGGCUGUUAUCUGCUAGUGCUGCCUCGGCCAAGGGCUGCAAAGACGCUGGGCUGUGGGGGGAAAAAAAAUUGGGAAGGGGCUGGGAAAGGGGCUAGGUGGAUAGGCUUUGUACCAACCUGGGUGAGGAGGAGACAGCGACUCUGAAAACUGGCUGCUGCUGCUGCUGCUGCUGCUGCCGACCCAAGAGACCUGAGCGAAGAGAAGGGAAGAAAAGGAGCUGCAGGCACAGCUGGACAUGGUGCUGCAGGCUGAGAUGUGUCAGAAGGCAGACAGAGCCAUUCCACCAGCAGCAGAAGUGUUCAGGUUCAGCUCAUCCUGCUGGCCCUAACCUUUGGAGCCUCUCCAGGACGCUGUGUACCUAUUGCAGAUCACAAAGGUGUCCUAAUGCCAAGCUCCCAUCUGCUGCUGCUCCUUGUGAAUUUAUUUACAUUCCUUUCAUAUUUUGCCACGCUUGGGACCUGAAAACGAAUGUGGGAAGCACUUCAGCUGGCAGAGGAAGAUGAGGAAUGGAAGAAUGGAAAUGAUGUGGGCAGUUGAUUCGGUGAGCUCCAGCAGGCACAAAUAAAACG